rnacentral:rRNA from 1 species
GAAGCCCCGCUUGCGGGGUGGAUCAGUGGCGAACGGGUGAGUAACACGUGAGCAACCUGCCCCUGACUCUGGGAUAAGCGCUGGAAACGGCGUCUAAUACUGGAUACGAGACGUGAUCGCAUGGUCAACGUUUGGAAAGAUUUUUCGGUUGGGGAUGGGCUCGCGGCCUAUCAGCUUGUUGGUGAGGUAAUGGCUCACCAAGGCGUCGACGGGUAGCCGGCCUGAGAGGGUGACCGGCCACACUGGGACUGAGACACGGCCCAGACUCCUACGGGAGGCAGCAGUGGGGAAUAUUGCACAAUGGGCGCAAGCCUGAUGCAGCAACGCCGCGUGAGGGAUGACGGCCUUCGGGUUGUAAACCUCUUUUAGCAGGGAAGAAGCGAGAGUGACGGUACCUGCAGAAAAAGCACCGGCUAACUACGUGCCAGCAGCCGCGGUAAUACGUAGGGUGCAAGCGUUAUCCGGAAUUAUUGGGCGUAAAGAGCUCGUAGGCGGUUUGUCGCGUCUGCUGUGAAAUCUGGGGGCUCAACCCCCAGCCUGCAGUGGGUACGGGCAGACUAGAGUGCGGUAGGGGAGAUUGGAAUUCCUGGUGUAGCGGUGGAAUGCGCAGAUAUCAGGAGGAACACCGAUGGCGAAGGCAGAUCUCUGGGCCGUAACUGACGCUGAGGAGCGAAAGGGUGGGGAGCAAACAGGCUUAGAUACCCUGGUAGUCCACCCCGUAAACGUUGGGAACUAGUUGU